CCUACGGGAGGCAGCAGUGGGGAAUAUUGGACAAUGGGCGCAAGCCUGAUCCAGCCAUACCGCGUGUGUGAAGAAGGCCUUUUGGUUGUAAAGCACUUUAAGCGAGGAGGAGGCUCUUGAGGAUAAUACCCUUGAUGAGUGGACGUUACUCGCAGAAUAAGCACCGGCUAACUCUGUGCCAGCAGCCGCGGUAAUACAGAGGGUGCGAGCGUUAAUCGGAAUUACUGGGCGUAAAGCGCGCGUAGGCGGCUUGUUAAGUCGGAUGUGAAAUCCCCGGGCUCAACCUGGGCACUGCAUUCGAUACUGGCAAGCUAGAGUAUGGGAGAGGAAGGUAGAAUUCCAGGUGUAGCGGUGAAAUGCGUAGAGAUCUGGAGGAAUACCGAUGGCGAAGGCAGCCUUCUGGCCUAAUACUGACGCUGAGGUGCGAAAGCAUGGGGAGCGAACAGGAUUAGAUACCCUGGUAGUCCAUGCCGUAAACGAUGUCAACUAGCCGUUGGGGACCUUGAGUCUUUAGUGGCGCAGCUAACGCGAUAAGUUGACCGCCUGGGGAGUACGGUCGCAAGACUAAAACUCAAAAGGAAUUGACGG
rnacentral:rRNA from 1 species